UUACUCAUCCUCAUGUCAUUCCAAACUUGUAUUUCUGUAGAACACAAAAGAAGAUUACACUAUUCAAAGGCUUUUGUUGGUGUUCUGCAGAAGAAAUUAGUACAACUUGAAUUUGAUUAAAUGACAGAGUUUUCAUACCUUUUAAAUGAAUAAAUAAGGCCAAUCAUUUUAUCAUAAAUGCUUAUUCCAAAGCAUGUCUCCCCCUCUGUCUUACUGAUGAGACAGAGCGGUACACAGCCUGUCACAUGGCUGGGAGAACAUCCAUCACGUGGAAAGCACUGCCUGUCUCUAAGCUGGGUUAGAGCUGCUCUCUCUGGUUUCAAUCGGUGUGAUAAGGGUGGCCCUCCAUGUGCAACUCAAAGCCUGCCUCAUCCUCCCCCGCAGGGAAGCAUUCAGCCAAAACGUGAGCAUCACUCACUGAGAGGUCACAUGCUGCCAGGUUGUACCAGGAGAAACUGCGCUGGCUUUUUACAGGGCCUGGAAUCCCAUGGACAAACCAGUGAUAGGCAUUUCUACCUACAAUGUUGUACCUUUUGAGGCUGGACAAUAUUUUAAUAAGAUACAGUGUUUCUGUUUUGAGGAACAGAGGUUAAACCCACAUGAGGAAGUAGACAUGCCUGUUUUCUUCUACAUUGAUCCAUAGUUUGAUGAUGACCCCAGGAUGGCACAAGUUGAUACUAAUACACUCUCGUAUACCUUUUUUGAAGCCAAAGAAGGACAGCGGUUACCCAUCCCUGGGUAUAGCUAAUUAUGCAUUAUUUCGAGAAUUUUAUGAAUUAUAUUCAAGAGAGUUUGUUCAGUAAUCAUUUUGGUAAUGAUUACUGUAUGUUGUCACGUUUUACUUUGUCUGUUUAGCUUAAAUCAAACAAUUAUAGCAAAAACUGAACAGUAAUGAAGGCUGAUCAAGACAAUAAAUAAGUUAAAAAAAAUUAUACAUAUACCAUAAGACUUUUUUUAUAUAUAUAUCAAACAUCUGAGCUGUAUGACAAAUUUGUGAAUUUUGUCAACAUUUGUGAGGCUAGUGGCUUACUUUAGAACACUAGAGGGCAGCAUUUACGCAUGUGUCUUAAUGUCUUUUGACGUAAAACAUGAUCUUAAAACUUAGCAAUUACAUUGAAAACAGUAACACGUGUUGUACGACUUGCUGAUUAUUGUGGAAUAACUAAUUUAUUUGGAUUUCAUACAACUGUAGCAUAUACAUGCUUUAUAUAAUGCAUGCGCAAAUGCUCUUAGUGGCGCUUCAGUGAGCAAUAUUGUGCAACAACACUACUCAAACAGUUUUG